CGGACGGGUGAGUAAUGUCUGGGAAACUGCCUGAUGGAGGGGGAUAACUACUGGAAACGGUAGCUAAUACCGCAUAACGUCGCAAGACCAAAGAGGGGGACCUUCGGGCCUCUUGCCAUCGGAUGUGCCCAGAUGGGAUUAGCUAGUAGGUGGGGUAACGGCUCACCUAGGCGACGAUCCCUAGCUGGUUUGAGAGGAUGACCAGCCACACUGGAACUGAGACACGGUCCAG
rnacentral:rRNA from 2 species